UAAAAUAAACAAUGGAUGAAAACAACAUCAUUCACUAACAGAAACCAUAGAAAAGCUUAGCAAAUAUCAGAGAAGCGAUGUAUGACCCUGUAAUCUAAGAAAUUAGCAUAAGAUCUUCCAACAGGAGGAAAGGAGAGAAUAGAGAUCAAAUCAAAAAAAUCAGGGAACAUGGAAGAAUUGUAAAAAGGGCUUCUCGCCCAAAGAAGCUGAAGGGCGAGGAGCCGCGGAGACCGAGAAAACCCUAACAAGCGUUGGCGCUGGGACUCGGUUUGUCGGAGGGCUCUUGAUCCAAUUUAUAGGCAGUGGGGCCUGUUUCUGGUGUCCCGCGGUGGGCUUUUAAGUAUACCAAGCAUCACCAAGUAUGAAAUUGGGUUUCAUAAUGCAUUCCAUGUUACUCGGUCGGUAUUCUCUUCAUCUCUAAAAUAUGACUCUUUUCAUGAGUUUAAUUAUGGAAAACUAACAUCCCUCAUGGUUCGUGUUCAAAAUAUUUU
rnacentral:lncRNA from 1 species